rnacentral:misc_RNA from 1 species
ACACCUCAACUCUCAUGGUUUGCCAUGAUGAGCUUGGACUUUGGAGGUCUUGCUGGCCUGUGGUCGGCUCCUCUCAAACAAAUCAGCUUGCCGGCGUUUGGUGGCAUCGCGGGUGUGAUAAAUAUCUACGCUUGCGGUUUCUGCCAGAUAACCUUUCAGCAAUGGAGGUUUCGCCGGAGCUUAUAAACGUCUCUCCUCGGUGAGGAUGGUGCUCUGAAC